rnacentral:rRNA from 1 species
GAAAUAAAUUUAAUUUAGUUUUAAUUUUUCUGUUCUUUUAUUAAGAGUAUGAUUAAUUAAAAUAAAGUUAGAAGGGGAUAAGCUCUUUUAAUAUUUUAUAAUAAAUUUUUAUUUAAUUAUAGUAGGAUUAUAAUCUUCCAUCUUGUUAUUACGUUAUAGUAUAUUUUUAUUUGUUUUGAUUUAUUUUUAUUUAAUUAUCUAUUAAAAUUUUUUAAUUAAUUUUGAAUUUAAAGUAAUAAUGAUUAAAUUAGUAUAUUUAUUUUGUAUAUCAUUAAUUCCUUGUUUAUUUAUUUAUAAGGAACUCGGCAAAUUUUAUGUUCGCCUGUUUAUCAAAAACAUGUCCUCUUGGUUUUUUAAGAGGUCUGGCCUGCCCAGUGAAAUAAUUUUAACGGCCGCGGUAUUUUGACYGURCAAAGGUAGCAUAAUCAUUAGUCUUUUAAUAGAGGGCUGGAAUGAAAGGUUUAACGAAACAUUAGCUGUCUCAUAUUUAUAAUUUAAAAUUUAAUUUUUAAGUUAAAAAGCUUAAAUUUUGUUGGAGGACGAGAAGACCCUAUAGAGUUUUAUAUUAGAAAUUUUAAUGAAGGUUUUGUUAAAUAUUUUAAAUUAAUUUUUUUAAUAUUUUGUUGGGGUGACAAAUAAAUAUGAAUAACUUUUUUAUUUUAUAUACAUAAAUUUAUGAAUAUUUGAUCCAUUAUUAUUGAUUAUUAGAUUAAAUUACCUUAGGGAUAACAGCGUAAUAU